rnacentral:rRNA from 1 species
UACGAAGGGGGCUAGCGUUGUUCGGAAUUACUGGGCGUAAAGCGCACGUAGGCGGCUUUGUAAGUUAGAGGUGAAAGCCCGGGGCUCAACUCCGGAAUUGCCUUUAAGACUGCAUCGCUAGAAUUGUGGAGAGGUAAGUGGAAUUCCGAGUGUAGAGGUGAAAUUCGUAGAUAUUCGGAAGAACACCAGUGGCGAAGGCGACUUACUGGACACAUAUUGACGCUGAGGAGCGAAAGCGUGGGGAGCGAACAGG